UGAGGACCUACUGUGUGCCCAACCCUGUGGAUACAGAGAUGAACAAAGCCUAGUUCCUGCUCCCAAAGGGCUUCCUGACUAGUGGUGUGACCACCCAUUUAUGAAGAGAGGAAAACUGAGAGCCAAGGGAAGGAAUGGACUUGCCCAGGAUCACACAGCUCAAGAUGCUCCAAGCAACGUUUCUGGAGCCUCCAGAACUGAAGGGCGGACCAAUUCCCUGGAGGAAAGGAAUGGAUUUGGGCCCAGGGGAGCCACAUUUUUUCUCAGCUCUAUGGCAAGCAAGCACCAAGGGUCCAAGGAUCAGGGAGCAUAUUAAAUACACUGUUCUAGGGAUUUCCCUGAUGGUGCAGUGGUUAAGAAUCCACCUGCCAGUGCAGGAGACAUGGGUUCGAGCCCUGGUCCCGGAAGAUCCCACAUGCCGAGGAGCAACUAAGCCUGUGCACCACAACUACUGAGUCUGCGCUCUAGAGCCAGCGAGCCACAACUACUGAAGCCCACGCGCCUAGAGCCCGUGCUCCACAACAAGAGAAGUCACCGCAAUGAGAAGCCCGCACACCACAACAAAAAGUAGCCCCGCUCACCACAACUAGAGAAAGCCUGUGCGCAGCAACGAAGACCCAAU